AUUGAACGCUGGCGGCAGGCCUAACACAUGCAAGUCGAACGAGUGGCGGACGGGUGAGUAAUGUCUGGGAAACUGACCGAUGGAGGGGGAUUACUACUGGAAACGGUAGCUAAUACCGCAUACCAUCGGAUGUGCCCAGAUGGGAUUCGCUAGUAGGUGGGGUAAUGGCGCACCUAGGCGACGGUCCCUAGCUGGUCUGAGAGGAUGCCCAACCACACUGGAACUGAGACACGGUCCAGACUCCUACGGUAGGCAGAAGUGGGAAAUAUUGCACAAUGGGCGAAAGCCUGAUGCAGCCAUGCCGCGGGUAUGAAGAAGGCCUUCGGGUUGUAAAGUACUUUCAGCGAGGAGGCGUUACUCGCAGAAGAAGCACCGGCUAACUCCGUGCCAGCAGCCGCGGUAAUAC
rnacentral:rRNA from 1 species